CCUACUCCACUUGCGCGGGCCCCACUCAGCAUGCAUUCUCCCCCUCCUUCCGUUAACAUUCUCCAGACUCUUCCUCAUUUCCCUUUCUCUUUCCUCUAUCUCUCCUUCCGCUUCUCUCAAGCCCAACGAAAUCCCCACACCGCCGCUGACGGGCCCCCAAGCUUUUCGUGCGGCCGCAGCUCGCCACCACCGGGGAGCCACCGAGAUCCUCGCGCACGCAGCAAAACUGUCCUGCAUCACCACAGCGAGGCUCCUCUGAUCCGGAUCUCAGAUUCAGAAGGGAGGCCACUAAAGAUGAUGGGGGCAUGACCCCUGUGCCUCGGCGAGGCAAUCCCUACCUCGAGCGUGGCGGCGGUUGUGGAAUGGAUCGACGCCCCCGAGUGCGGCGGCACAUGUGGUAGGGUUGCUGGCCUUGAUUUGUAGCAGCCGGGAAGCGCCCCCGGUAAAUCGCCGCUUCUUGCUCCCCUUUCCCCUUCUGACCGACCGAUAAUAGAACUUGUGCGGAUGAGAUUCAAGGCCGACCGAUGAUAGAGCUCGUGCUCAAGAGAUGUUUGAAAUUGCAGAUCUGCAUGAGCUUUGAUGAUGUAGCAGAUGCAAGCACAGUUCCUUAGAAAUCCGUCGUGUUGAUCGUUUGUGGUAUGGAAUUUUUUUUAAUGUUUGGGUUUUAGUGCUCUACAGAAGCAUUUUAACUGCUUGCAUCUCGCAUUCUACACCAAGCAUCGACCCAUACUGUGCUACUCUCUCAACGUCUUAUUGCUUAGGUUAUCCUCCUAAUGUUUUACAUUUUUCAUUCCAAGGAGUGUACCUUCAAAAUUUUUCAUUCCAUUUUCUUCGUUUUGUGGUAAUUACUGAACUACUUCCCGGAUACUCUGUAUGAUAGAUUGUUGUUUGUUCUCUUGCAUGUUUAGCUUGGUUUCAGCUUUCCAGUGUGACAGAUUUCCCUAUGUGCAUCAUGUUGAUAGUUCAGCAUUCAUUUUCUUUAGUCUUUGCUUCCUUUUUCUCCAGGAAGGUCAAAGAAUAAUCUUAUGAUUUAACUGAUAUGCUUUACUAUGUCUUCUGAAGGUUUUUUCUGUGAAUCAAUUGUUGCGUCUCCAACACCAGCAUUUGCAUGAAUACUAUAGUGGGAAUAGUGGUUUAGUUACUUCUUUGGCAGAAAAAUAUGGAUGUGGAUGAUGAAUCUGGUGGGGCUGCCCAGUCAAGUGAUUCAAGAAAUGCUUCUCAUCAAAUCCCAAAGGUGCUUGUCCCUCUCCGGAAAAAUUCUUUUUGGUAUCUGCUUGUUGCUAAUUUCAGACAUAAAAGGUUUGAGGUUAUUUGCCCAUUCGAGAAUUCAGAUAUUAUAAAAGAUGAUGCUCUUGUUGCUGUUGCAAACUUCAGAAAAGUCUUUAAGUGUGUCCAGAGCAGGUCAACAAGAGUUGAAAUAUACAACAUGCCAACAGUGAUUGGAAGUGUAUCGAGCAGAACAAACCAGAAUGACAGCGGUGUGUUUGUUCUAAAACUGUUGUUAUCAUAUACUGGCAAUACUCAUUUUUAUUUCAAACCAGAUCAUGCAAAACCAAUUCGUGAAAUGGUAACAUACUAUCUGUGCACGCAUGCUCAGAAUCAGAUUGUAAUUCCUGAAAUAAAGUUGAUUACUUCAAGACAUGGUGUUGAACCUAUUAGUUAUGUCACAAGAUGCGCGAAGAAAUGAUGCACUGCCUGACGUUUGAAAAACAAAAAAGAUCUACAAAUUAACGAAAAAGAUACAAUUAUACUUGGUGUCAAUAGUCUCUUCUAUUUUUUUUAGAAAAUUUUACAUUUUCCCCGCUUUGGUUUUUUGCAUGCACCUUACACAUGAUAUUGCAAGGCAUCACAACCUUUUUUUAUUCUCGUUAAUAAAUUUUUUGUUAACAGAUUUUUAUACUCUUUUUCUAACAUAUUUUUAAUAAUUUUCCAACUAAAUAAUUAAUUUUUUUAUUUUUAAUAUUUUUUUGUUUGAAUGUAACUUUUAUUUGACUUCCCCCACCCGAUAUACUCCCUACAUCCUAACGGUCCUGGAAAAAAAAUAUGCGUCCUGAAAAGAGAAUGACUUCGGGAAUUUUUCAAACGAAGCCCACGUGACAUGAUUUUUUGUCGGGCCAGAUCGGCAUAUAGUGCGGGCGGCCCAAAAAAGAAAGGGAAGGACUCCUGAAGCUCGCGGGCUGUCAUUUAGUGCGGGGCGGCCCAAAAAGGAAAGAGAAUGGUCCCGAAGCCGAAAAUGGUAUAUGUCAAGGUUGUCGGAAAUCGUUUGCUACUUUGCGUCCUGGGGCGCGCGUGCGAACUAGCAAGCCCCAAUACGAAGCGAGCGUGGGCGUGGCGGCGGCGCCACUCCCCCUUCUCGCCGGUAAGGCGCCACCCUCCUCUUCCUUCCCAUGUUCUCUCGAUUCAGAUCCGGUCUUGCUCGAUCUUGUGUGGUGUUCUUGGAUUACCGUUGUUGCUCGAGCAGCACGGCGGAGCCGGCGCCGGCACCGGCACCGUCUUCCUCCGCCGCCGCACCCGCCGAUUCGACCGCGCUCGAGGCUGAUGACGGGUCGGCCGUGGCGUGAAGAGGGGCCGCAGCAGGCACGCCGCGCGUGUAGAGGUGGAGAAGGUGGAGGCGGCGCUGGUCAGUUUAUUGUCAGUUGACGCACAACAGCAACUAGUUCUUGUUGGAUCUCCAGCCCGGCACGGCGGGGUGCGGUGGGUACUCGGGCUUCGUCUCCUCCAGGUACCGCGCCGCGCUGCUCAUGGAGCUGCAUGUGAACAGCAGCGCCACGAGGAAGGCGAGGGAGGACAUGAUUUUCUUGGAAACCAUGUCGGAUGGCUUGUGGCUUGUGCUUUCUCAGCUUGGAUCGAUCUCAGUGUAUUAGUGAGAGGGUGCGAGCUAGUUCUUGUUGUGAUGCUGUGAUGGCUGCAAACAGCGAAGAGGGGCUCGCAGCUCGCUAUUUGUAGAUACAAGGGAAGGCCUUGCUGCAUGCAUAGUUGCAUGUGGGCGUGUUUGCAGGAGUCUUCUGGUCUUUGGUGCCUGCUGGUAGCAGUAGUCAUCUGCAUUUUUUCUCUCCUGAAACCUCUAGGCUCGAGGUCCUCUGCUCAACUUAGUUUUCCAAAAUGUUAUCUCUACUACAUGUCUGGUUUAAUCAGUUGAGAAUACCCUGAAAUAUGCGUGAGCUGGUUGGUGGAUGCAUGCAUGCUUUAUUUAUCUUUACACAAGCCUACUAGUUACUGUUAGUGCCUAUGAUAGUUUACUGUCAGUUGACGUACAGCCUAUAAUAGUUUACUGUCAGUUGACGUACAGCAACUGUGGUCGGUUAAGGUCUUUUUGGCUCCAGGACUUUUUUCAGAAGUCCCUAUCACAUCAAAAGGAAUUUUACUAUUUUAUAGUAUUAAAUAAAAUCUGUUUAUAAAUGUUUUUUGACAGCUGAGUGCUUUUUCGCGAGACGAAUCUAAUGAGCCUAAUUAAUUCAUAAUUUGCUACAGUGAUGCUACAGUAACCAUUCGCUAAUCAUAGAUUAAGAUACCUCAUUAGAUUCGUCUCGCAGUUUAGCCCCAGGAUUCUGCAGUUAGUUUUAUAAUUAAUAUUUAUUUAAUACUUCUAAAUACUAAAAAGUCCCUAGGACUUUUUUGAAGUCCCUGUUUCUAAACACCCCCUAAGUACCGCACUGCUGCUGUUAUGUUCUUUAUCAUGAUUCAUUCUAAAACCUAAAUACCUAAUCAUGAGUCAUGUCCCGACUAACAAAUAUCUUUUCUUGUUACUUGUAGAUCCCACCGGAACCAUUUAGAGUUGGGUACAUAGUCACAAAAAUGAUUUGUACGAACGCCUCGCUUUUUUCAGGGGCAGAUCAAAAUUUGAUCCGUUUCUACAAAGGGAGCAGGAGUACUGUAGCAACUAACCGCCCCCGGAAAUCAAUUUGUAGGAACAGUUUACCCCCCCCCCCCCCCCAAAUCUCUAUAAAAAUCCGGGCACCUUCUUACUCCUCCCGACCCCCAUUGUUUGCACGGGUGAGGAGCUCCCCGAAAAUCCCAAAAAAAAGAAAUGAUGGAGGUUUUCAACUUGAUUUCCUUUGAGUUGGGGGCUUCAGGAGAUAAGUUGAUGCUGAUUCUCUGUUGUUUCUAAGCUUUUUUGUUAGAUUUAUGAAUCAAAUGGAGCUCUCUUUGCCUCUUACUAGCUAGCUCUAUGGAGGAGAGAGAAGAUUUGAUUUUUUCCUAUCUGUUAGUGUUGAUCUCCACCGUUUGGGCCCAACGGACCAAACGGGCCUUGACUCGCGCCCUGAUCGGGGGUGCCCAGCCCGUGGAAGGCUGGUGGGCCCCCAUCGCGCAGCACACAUAUAAAAGGAAGAGGUGGGGGUCAGUGGGAGGUAGCCAAAAAGAUCGCCGCCCAUUGCCCCACCAAUCGUAACCCUAGCCGAUCGGGGUUGUGCUGAAGCGACGGGAAGUGCCACCGGCCCGUCGUCGCUGCACCGCUCCUUCGUCGUCCGUCGCCACUGCGUCACGCCUCUCUCUACCCCUGAGCGCAUCUCGACGGGGACACGCCAUGGAGGUGCUACGUGCAAGGUAAUUUCACCAACAGAGAACACUUUAACCACUCGAUCUACUCCUAGACGAUUCAAUUGUUCUAACAAUGGUAUCAGAGCCGAUCUAGCGAUGUAGAUCGAGAUGGGAAAAAGAGGAUUCGUUCGCGAAUCGAAAGACAACAGAAAGAUCUCGAUCUUGGAUCGAGAAAGAAACAGAGAUAAAAGCAAUUCGAUCUUGAAUCGAAAAAGACAGAGAAUUGCCAAACCCUAACCCUAGAAAAGAGGUGGCGGGGCUUGUUUGGGCCUCGCCGCCGGCAUCUCCGCCGGCCACUGCCGCACGGGCAGGCUCCUGCGGCGCCGAAUCACCGGCACAUGACCGCCUGCGCGCGGGACAGAGCGAGCCGCCUUGACUCGCGAGCUCGGGCCAUGAACUCCGCCGCAGAGCCUCAAGACGGCGGAGCGCUCACGCUCGGGCGAACGCGCACGCCGGCCUGGGGGCCUGAGGCGGCGCUGAGCCUCCACUCCGGCGUGCUGUCUUGGCCACGACCGCAAUUCAGUGGCCGCCGCUGCUCGAGUAGAAAGAAGGGAAGAAAAAGAAAAAAGGGCGAGGGGGCCGGCGGCGGCGCCGCCACUCCUCCUCCGGCCGCCAUGGCCGCCGCCGCUCCGUGCUCGUCUCUGUGUGUGCUGCAGACGGACAAGGGGGGGAGGGGAGAGAAGAAAGAGUUGAGCUCGGGAUCGCCGGCCAUGGUGGCUCGGUGGCCGGGUCGAGCGGCACGGCGGCGAGAGGCCACCGGCGGCGGCGGCGCCACCGAACCCGGACCGGAAGAGCUGAAAAGAAAGAAAAGAAAGAAUGAUCUAGGGUUUCAAGGGGAAGGGCGACAAACCCAUUUUUGUUCGGGCGAAAUGGACGGGCGACCGUAGGAUUUGAUCCGACGGCCAGCGCCGCUCCGCCGCUAAUCGGGCCGUGGCCGGCCCAGGCGGGUGCCGAAGUGAGCCGUCUGCUGGGCUGCCAAGCCGCCGGGCCGACCGAGCACUGGCGCUGCGCGUCGGGCUGUAUGGGCUGCUGGCCCAGGGCGAGCACAGAGCUGAGCAGGCCACGGGCCGAAUCCCCGAGCUGGGCCGCGUGCACAGUAAAAGAAAAAGGUAAAUUUCUCAAUUUCAGCGGCAGAUUUUGAUGAAAUUUUCAAUAGUUUCACCCUCUGAUCAAUUUGAACCAACGGAAAAUUGAUCAGAGAAAAGUAAAGUCAAAAGAAUGCUUUUGAAUAUAGAAUUUUAUAUGUGUCAGCUGCAAAGUUUUUAGAGUUGAUGCUCUUGAUUUUAAAAGCAUGAUUAAAGAACUUACUUUGAGUAAGUUUUGUACAGUUUUAUCUCUAUUCAAUUUUGAACCAACGAGAUAAAUUGUUUAGAGAGAAAAUGAGUACAAUGUACUAUUUCUGAAAAGAAAGAAAAGUUUUUCGCUACCAUAAAGAAAGAAAAAGUUUUCCGGUGUUAUACUGUUGCUAUCUUUCAAUUAAGUCGGAACCAACGAGAAGAUUUAAUUGGAAGAAUAGUCUCAAAGUCUUAAAUAAGUUUUUUCCCUGUGGGUAAAAGAUAGAAAAGCUUCCGCUGUUUAAAGUCAAAGCUGAGUUUUGGCAUUUUCCUGCCAUUUGAAGUUUCAAAGUUGAGCAUUACUGGAAUCACAAAGAUAUUUCUCAUGGAAGAGAAAUUUAAAGUUAAUUAUGGUAUUGUUAUUUUCUGACCAACGUUGAUGAUAACAUUAUUAUAAUUUUUUCAUGAAUCAUAUCUUGAAGUUUAAGGUCUCUGGUAAAUGUUGUAUCAAAGUGACCAUUUCAGAGAAUAGCUAAAGAACUGCUCUCAAACUAGAGAAAUGUAUUUUCUAGUUUGCGCUGCAAUAAAAUUGAUUAUCCUCUAAUUAAAUUCGAACCAACGGGAGAAUUUAAUUUUGAGGAGCAGAUAUAUGGUUUUAAAGUUUAUUGAGUUUUUUCAUACAUUAAUUCCAUUUUUGUCCAACGGUGAUACAUAAUUAAUGUAAAAGAUUAUUCUAUUUCUGCCCAACGGUGAUAUAGAAUAGAACUUAAAGUAUUGAUUAUUGACUUUUCAUACAAAGAGUUCUAUGUUGUCCUUGAAGGACCAAAGACAUUGAACUGGGUAUUUGUGACUCAGAAAGAAAGAAGGUCAUUACAUAAGAGAAUAUAUUCUCUGUAAAGAACGGCUUGACAGGAAAAGUACUCAGGAUAUUUAUCCAAGAAGAGUAGAUAAAGCAAUAAGAGUUCAUUUUGAGAAAUGUCACUUAUGUACUCUCUAUCAAGAAGAAUUCAUUUUGAGUUCAUUCAAAGUUGUGAUAAGUCAAUACAUGUUUAAUUUGACCAACGUCGGAUUAAGCAUGUGUGUCAUGGAAUAUUCAUAUUUAUUUCUGAAUUUGAUAUGAACCGAUCCUGACAUUUUUGUUUGGAAAAGUAUGAAAUGACCCGCAUGACGGGUUAAAGUUGGUAUAGUGCUAAUCCUGCAUGGCGGGAGAAAGUUGUGAUGACUCAUGUACUGGUUUAUCCCACACUAGGAGAAAAGUUUGGAGUAGUUUUGCUAUUCUAGAAUUGAUCGGGCACUUCUAUUGUGUCACAGUGAUUAAGCAACAUGCGAACCUCAAGAUAAGAAAGAUAUGCGAGCGUGACUUGCUAAAGUACUAGUAAUGAAGGACUCUAUUAAGUUCGUGAAAUGAAAUGAGGAAAAAGUACUGCCAUAUCGAAUAAAGGACUCUAUUGAGUUCUCAAAGCAAAAUGAAUAAAAGGUACUCCCGUACAAAUUAAGAAAUUACUUUGUUCUGCAUGACGUAAUCAUGUGGAUGAAGUAAUAAAAGUUUCCUCAUUCACAAAAGUUGUGAAUAGUUUUCGAAAUUGUGGCAGAAAAGGUCAAGUCACAUUUCGAGGGAGAGAAAUAUGAGACAGUUUAGAAACAUACUCCCUUGUAAUAUGCAUUGAAAGCAAGAGAUGAUCUAUUAAAUGAUGAAUGUGACCGUCAAGGGGGUACAACGGUCACUAUGCUGAUACCCCUAUGUAAAGAAAUAGCUAAAUUUCAGCAUUUUUUGCUGGACUACCCUCAAAGAUAGUAAGAUGGUGCUUACGAGCACAUAUAAAGUUUACGGAGCAUAGAUAGAACCUAAACCAAAAGAUUUAUUGAUAUGCCAUCUUUACAAAAGAUGGCAAAAUCUGGGGGAGCAUGGUAUGUAGAUACCUUAGACUUGAUGAGAAGUGAGAAUGCGUGUCCACUUCGAUGAUUCAAGAACAACAAGUUUCUCAUACAUGCUGAUGUUGUAUACAACACAUGUUGUUAGCUCUCAAAGAAAAUGAAUAAAGUAAAGAAGAAUCUUGUUAUGCAGGAUCUCAUUAGUCCAUAGCCAUUUGGCAAAAGGAGCAACAACAUUCCCAUACAAAUUAAAGAAAAUCAAAUGGAGGUCGAUUCCACCUCAUUUGAAGAAGUCAUAAGAAUUCCGUGGGUUAAGUCCAUAUAUAUAAAAAAAAGGGAUGUGAUUCCUGAAAGAAUCAUCACAGUAGGUUAUAAUGGACCUACAAAAUGUCAAUGUGACUCCAGAGGGAAUGUUGAAAGAUAUAAAGCAAAUUUUGUGACAAAAGUUUUAGUCAAAGAGAAGAAAGAACAUAUGGGAUACCACAAUAGUAAAUUCAUUUAUGGAUUGAAGAAAGCCACGAGACGGUGGUAUCUAAAGUUUAAAUAAAACAAUAUGAAGUUUUAGGUUUAAAGAGAUAAAGGAGGAUAAUAGUUUUUAAGGAAAGUUUUAAAGAAAGUUAAAGAAUGGGAAAUUUUAUUUCCACAACUUAAAGAUAACACCCUACCCACUAGUGGUGGUGUUAAUAUACUGUUAUAGAUAAAGAAUUCUUGUCCUCAAAUUUUGAUCUCGGUGAUGAGUUUUUCAUUCUAUGGAUUGAGACUCAUCGAGAUAAAAGAAAGGGGUAUUAUGAUUAUCACAAAGGCAUACUCAGAAAAUAUUCUAAAGAAAUGAAGUAUGCAAAGGAGUAAGCCUACGCCUGUUCCUAUCGUUAAGGGUAAUAGUUUUGGGAACCUUAGUGUUCCAGGAACCAAUGUGAAAUGGAAAUAGUUCUAAAUACUUCAGCUGCUGAAAGUAUUAUAAGCGCGCAAGAAAAGAACUUACCCUGACAUAUUUUGUGUAUCCGGGUUAUUUUGGCAAAAGUUCAAUCCAGAUAUAGAUCACUGGAAUGAAAUUGAGAAUAUCGGCCUCAUGCUAAGUUGGAAAGAUCAAGUACUCUCAAAAGGUUGUGAGUACAAAAGUAGAACUUGUGAAAUGUGUAGCGAAAUCCACAAUUGUCGCUGACUUUCACAUUUGGAGGUUUUGUGUGGAAAAGCUCCAAAACAAAGCAAUUAUGAUCAAUGUGAUGCAAAGAUAUAGUAUAGCAUGAUACGAGGCCGAGGGACAGGCAAAAUAAUCAAGGGAACCUUUACUCGGAAUUGAUAAUGGUUGACAGCAGCAAUAACCAUUAAAGUAGUUUGCUCCUGUGACAACAAGUCAACUGUGGUGCCAAACACGUUGACACAAAGUUAUACGUUGUAAAGGAGAAAGUCCGGAAUCAUGAUUGGAAUGGAUUGUGAGUUUAAAUGACAGAAAGUAUUUGCGGAUCCGCUUACUAAAGGCUUGCCGCCCAGUGUGUACAGAGAACACACAGUCGACAUGGGUUUAUGGUAUAGCCUAUGUUUUCCGGACGAUAAAGGGCCCAAAGUUAAAGUAUCUAUUUCAGAACCGAGAGGUGUAUUGUAGCUGUUAAGUCCAUCGGCUAUUGACCGUGACGAUGAGGCAUGCUCAUAUGCACUAAUCCGUGAUGGAGUAGGUAGAUAAAGAAUCAAGAAUGAAGAAAGUAAAAGAUUGAGAUAAGUUAAAAUACGAGAUGAGAUCAAGGGGGAGAAUGUUAGUGUUGAUCUCCACCGUUUGGGUCCAACGGACCAAACGGGCCUUGACUCGCGCCCUGAUCGGGGGUGCCCAGCCCGUGGAAUGCUGGUGGGCCCCCGUCGCGCAGCACACAUAUAAAAGGAAGAGGUGGGGGUCAGUGGGAGGUAGCCAAAAAGAUCGCCGCCCAUUGCCCCACCAAUCGUAACCCUAGCCGAUCGGGGUUGUGCUGAAGCGACGGGAAGUGCCACCGGCCCGCCGUCGCUGCACCGCUCCUUCGUCGUCCGUCGCCACUGCGUCACGCCUCUCUCUACCCCUGAGCGCAUCUCGACGGGGACACGCCAUGGAGGUGCUACGUGCAAGGAAGAUGGUGUCAAGGAGGAUGAGUCAGGGGUGCCACCAUCUUUAUUUAACUACGUUGGCGGAAUUUCUUUUUGAUGGCAACCUUCAGGGAUGCAGAAAAGAACAGCUGAGGAACUAGUGAAGCAUGAUUCAGGAAACUACUCAUCUUUGUGGAUUAGGACGACUAGCAGUAGCUCUCUUUCUUUGUUUGCAUUGCACUUAAAAAGAGUGUACUGAGUGCGCUCAUUAACGCCCUUGAUUAACCGGAAGUGAGGAGAUUAUCUCUCUCUUUGGGAGUUAAGAUACUGCUUCGUUGUUUGUGAGAUUACCAACAUCUUUCUGCAUUGCCAUAUCUUCAUAUGUUGCCAUCAUGACUCUACGGUGCAUUCUUAUAUGUUCUGGAUGUAACAAAAUAACAUAUGUUCUGGAUGUUGAUUAUGUGUUGUUCA